UAACCUGCCCAAGAGAUCGGGAUAACACCUGGAAACAGAUGCUAAUACCGGAUAACAACAGAUGAUGCCUAUCAACUGUUUAAAAGAUGGUUCUGCUAUCACUCUUGGAUGGACCUGCGUUGCAUUAGCUAGUUGGUAGGGUAACGGCCUACCAAGGCGAUGAUGCAUAGCCGAGUUGAGAGACUGAUCGGCCACAUUGGGACUGAGACACGGCCCAAACUCCUACGGGAGGCAGCAGCU
rnacentral:rRNA from 1 species